rnacentral:rRNA from 1 species
GUAGGAGAGCGCUCUAAGGGCAUCGAAGCCAGAUCGUGAGGACUGGUGGAGCGCUUAGAAGUGAGAAUGCCGGUAUGAGUAGCGCAAGACGGGUGAGAAUCCCGUCCACCGAAUAACUAAGGUUUCCUGGGGAAGGCUCGUCCUCCCAGGGUUAGUCGGGACCUAAGCUGAGGCCGAUAGGCGUAGGCGAUGGACAACAGGUUGAUAUUCCUGUACCAGUUGCUUUUGUUUGAGCGAUGGAGGGACGCAGGAGGCUAAGGAAUGCACACGAUCGGAAAUGUGUGUCCAAGCAGCAAGUCUGAGAACGAGUGGAAUGCUUUUUCUCUCAAGGACAAGCUGUGAUGGGGAGCGAAAUUUAGUAGCGAAGUUCCUGAUGUCACACUGCCAAGAAAAGCUUCUAGUGAGAAAGUAACUGCCCGUACCGCAAACCGACACAGGUAGUUGAGGAGAGAAUCCUAAGGUGUGCGAGAGAACUCUCGUUAAGGAACUCGGCAAAAUGACCCCGUAACUUCGGGAGAAGGGGUGCUGACCGCAAGGUCAGCCGCAGUGAAUAGGCCCAAGCGGCUGUUUAUCAAAAACACAGGUCUCUGCAAAAUCGAUAUGACGUAUAGGGGCUGACGCCUGCCCGGUGCUGGAAGGUUAAGAGGAGAGGUUAGCGCAAGCGAAGCUUUGAAUUGAAGCCCCAGUAAACGGCGGCCGUAACGAUAACGGUCCUAAGGUAGCGAAAUUCCUUGUCGGGUAAGUUCCGACCCGCACGAAAGGCGUAACGAUUUGGGCACUGUCUCAACGAGAGACUCGGUGAAAUUAUAGUACCAGUGAAGAUGCUGGUUACCCGCGACAGGACGGAAAGACCCCAUGGAGCUUUACUGCAGUUUGAUAUUGCGUGUUUGUAUCACAUAUACAGGAUAGGUAGGAGCCGAAGAUACCGGGACGCCAGUCUCGGAGGAGGCAACGGUGGGAUACUACCCUUGUGAUAUGACCACUCUAACCCGCUGCUCUUAGCGAGCAGGGAGACAGUGUCAGACGGGCAGUUUGACUGGGGCGGUCGCCUCCAAAAAUGUAACGGAGGCGCCCAAAGGUUCCCUCAGAAUGGUUGGAAAUCAUUCGUAGAGUGUAAAGGCAGAAGGGAGCUUGACUGCGAGACCUACAAGUCGAGCAGGGACGAAAGUCGGGCUUAGUGAUCCGGUGGUUCCGCAUGGAAGGGCCAUCGCUCAACGGAUAAAAGCUACCCUGGGGAUAACAGGCUUAUCUCCCCCAAGAGUUCACAUCGACGGGGAGGUUUGGCACCUCGAUGUCGGCUCAUCGCAUCCUGGGGCUGUAGUCGGUCCCAAGGGUUGGGCUGUUCGCCCAUUAAAGCGGUACGCGAGCUGGGUUCAGAACGUCGUGAGACAGUUCGGUCCCUAUCCGUCGCGGGCGUUGGAAAUUUGAGAGGAGCUGUCCUUAGUACGAGAGGACCGGGAUGGACACACCGCUGGUGUACCAGUUGUUCUGCCAAGAGCAUCGCUGGGUAGCUAUGUGUGGACGGGAUAAACGCUGAAAGCAUCUAAGUGUGAAGCCCCCCUCAAGAUGAGAUUUCCCAUCACUUUAAGUGAGUAAGACCCCUGAGAGAUGAUCAGGUAGAUAGGUUGGGAGUGGAAGUACAGCGAUGUAUGGAGCGGACCAAUACUAAUCGGUCGAGGACUUAACCG